UAAAUUAUUAUCAACGACUUACGGAGUUUAUCAAUUCAGUUAAUAUGGGUCCAGAGUUAUUUUUGGUUGGCAGAUUAUUUAUUUUAAUAACUGGAGCGAGUAAAGGGAUAGGACGGGGCUUUGCGAUUACAUUUUCUCAAGUAGCAUCCAGCAAUUCACACUUUUUAUUGAUAGCUCGCAAUGAAACUGGAUUGCGAGAAACAGCUAGCCUUAUGAGUAAUCAUGUAAAUGUUGAUUACGUCAGUAUGGACUUAUCUUUAGCGCAAGCUGAUCAGUUUGAAGAUAUGAUUAGAAAACGCAUCAAUCCGAAUGAAUAUGAUCAUGCUAUUAUUAUCCAUAAUGUUGGAACAACUGGUGAUCUAUCACAAUUUUGACUUCUGAAAUGAAUAAUUUUCGUGUUUAGGAAAAAAUGUAUGAUUUGAAUGAGUUUUCUCCAGCUGUUUUGAACUCAGUUUUCAUGAAAAUAUUUAAUGACAAAGUCAAAGCUAAAAAGUUAGUCAUUAAUAUGAGUUCAUUCACCGCUAAAACACCUUUUCAAUCUCUUGGUUAUUACUGUUCGGCAAAAGCUGCACGCGAAAUGUAUUUUAGGGUUUUUGCUAAAGAGUUUCCAAACGUCAACGUUUUAAAUUAUUCCCCUUACAUGGCUGAUACUGAUUUAUUCAGAGCAGGGGAAAACAUAACAAGAACAACAGAACUUCCUCGAUUCUUAAGAAAGCACGUCAAGAAGGCAAACUAUUAACGCCUAUCCAAGUAAGUCAUCGUCUUAUUGCUAUUAUAUGGGCACAAAAGUAUAAGUCGGGUGACUAUGUAGAUUACUAUGACCGUUUAUA